GAAAACAAGGGGCUUUUGGUUCAGAGUCAAUGUUAUAUCCUGUGUUUGUUUCUUUUAUUUCCUCGGUUUUCUUUUCUUAUUUCUUGAAUUUUUACCGACUGUCCUUUUUCGUGCUUUUUCUUUUGAAUCAUCGAUUAUUUGAUUUUUAUUUUUCUUUCUUUUUCUCGAUUCAUCAAUUUUUCUUUUUCUUUUGUUUUUGCAUUUUCUAGGGCUUUGAGAGCUUUUGGGGUUUUUUUACCCCAAACAUAGCG
rnacentral:lncRNA from 1 species